GAAAAGAUAAAAGAAAUUUGCUUUUAGUAUUAUUUUGUGGCUUAUAAUACAGCUAAAAAGUCCUGUAAGGUUCGAUUAUAUUGUUCCAGUCAGUUGCAACAACAGUUAAACCAGCAGGAAACAGCCAAGUACACAUGCAAGUGAUACUUCUAAUUUAUUUAAUCAACAGAAAGCUAAAAGUGAUUCAGUAAACUUGAUCAUUAAACAUUCGGGUUUUAAUGAUACGAACGGUUUAUUAUUAAAUGCGAUUCUUGAAGAAGGUGCAAUAGGAUUGUAUAAAUAUAAAGAUGAUAUUUCACCUAAAAUAUUUAAAAAAACAGAAUCAUCAUUGAAUGAACUAAUAUCUAGAAAUUACCAAAAUAAUUACAAUCAAGACUC